rnacentral:rRNA from 1 species
GACGAACCGUGCGAACGUUGUUCGGAAUCAUUGGGCUUAAAGGGCGCGUAGGCGGGCCCGCAAGUCAGGGGUGAAAUCCCACGGCUCAACCGUGGAAGUGCCUCUGAUACUGCGGGCCUCGAGGGGGGUAGGGGCGUGCGGAACUUCCGGUGGAGCGGUGAAAUGCGUAGAUAUCGGAAGGAACACCGGUGGCGAAGGCGGCCAACUGGACUGGUAUUGACGCUGAGGCGCGAAAGCGUGGGGAGCAAACAGG